UAGGGAAUAUUGCAUAAUGGGCGAAAGCCUGAUGCAGCAACGCCGCGUGUGCGAUGAAGGCCUUCGGGUCGUAAAGCACUUUUGGAGGGGAUGAGGAAGGACAGUACCCUUCGAAUAAGCUUCGGCUAACUACGUGCCAGCAGCCGCGGUAAAACGUAGGAAGCGAGCGUUAUCCGGAUUUACUGGGCGUAAAGCGCGUGUAGGCGGUUGGGUAAGUUGGAUGUGAAAGCUCCUGGCUUAACUGGGAGAGGUCGUUCAAUACUGCCGAACUAGAGGAUGGGAGAGGGAAGUGGAAUUCCGGGUGUAGUGGUGAAAUGCGUAGAUAUCCGGAGGAACACCAGUGGCGAAAGCGGCUUCCUGGCCCAUAACUGACGCUCAGACGCGAAAGCUAGGGGAGCGA
rnacentral:rRNA from 1 species